GACGAACGCUGGCGGCGUGCUUAACACAUGCAAGUCGAACGAGAGGACAAGAGAAGCUUGCUUCUUUUGGAAUCGAGUGGCAAACGGGUGAGUAACACGUAAACAACCUGCCUUCAGGAUGGGGACAACAGACGGAAACGACUGCUAAUACCGAAUACGCUUGGAAGACCGCAUGAUUUUCCAAGGAAAGGGUGGCCUCUACCUGUAAGCUAUCGCCUGAAGAGGGGUUUGCGUCUGAUUAGGCAGUUGGUGAGGUAACGGCCCACCAAACCUACGAUCAGUAGCCGGUCUGAGAGGAUGAACGGCCACACUGGAACUGAGACACGGUCCAGACUCCUACGGGAGGCAGCAGUGGGGAAUCUUCCGCAAUGGGCGAAAGCCUGACGGAGCAACGCCGCGUGAGUGAUGACGGCCUUCGGGUUGUAAAGGCUCUGUGAUCGGGGACGAACGGUCCGUAAGCUAAUACCUUAUGGAAGUGACGGUACCCGAAUAGCAAGCCACGGCUAACUACGUG
rnacentral:rRNA from 1 species